rnacentral:rRNA from 1 species
CCUACGGGUGGCAGCAGUGGGGGAUAUUGGACAAUGGGGGGAACCCUGAUCCAGCGACGCCGCGUGAGUGAAGAAGUAUCUCGGUAUGUAAAGCUCUAUCAGCAGGGAAGAAGAAAUGACGGUACCUGAGUAAGAAGCCCCGGCUAACUACGUGCCAGCAGCCGCGGUAAUACGUAGGGGGCAAGCGUUAUCCGGAAUUACUGGGUGUAAAGGGAGCGUAGACGGUGAUGUAAGUCUGGAGUGAAAUCCCGGGGCUUAACCCCGGAACUGCUUUGGAAACUGUGCGGCUGGAGUGCAGGAGGGGUAAGCGGAAUUCCUAGUGUAGCGGUGAAAUGCGUAGAUAUUAGGAGGAACACCGGUGGCGAAGGCGGCUUACUGGACUGUAACUGACGUUGAGGCUCGAAAGCGUGGGGAGCAAACAGGAUUAGAUACCCGGGUAGUC